CAGAAAGCUGUCAGGAGUGAGAAAGAGAAACAGUGACAUCUCUCCUGACCCAGCCUAAACUAGAACACACAGAUGGGAGAAAGGACAUGCCGAUUGUUGGCUCGAAUGGUGUGCGGUGAACCAAAGAGGAUGAUCUGGUGCGACAGCCUGGAAUGUGUCAGAGGGGAUUAGGGAUGGAGGUCAAAGGUGGCCGCAGAAUGCCCCACCAGCUGACAGUUCCAGAGCGAAGGUCUCCAUCAGGCAGCCCCACGAGAUGCCCAAAAGACAGUGGGCUCUGCAGCCUCGCCUGUGACUGCCGCAGCAGAUGGGGAGGCCCUGGCAGCCGAUUCCCAAAUGUGCUUAGUGUGUUUGCCUGAGGGCAUAAGCACAUUUAUAUCAGAGGCUUUUUUUUUUUUUUUUUGGAGGAAGGAGGGCUAUCAGGUGCUCUGAAUUAACUAGACCUAUUUACACUUUCAAACUGUGAAGCAAGGCUUCUCAUGGGAAAACCUAGUGUCUUUCGUUUGCAUUUUUAAAAGUUACUGAUGUUUUCAAAUACGGAUCAUCUCAUCUUCUACAACCUAAACUGCUUAUAAGAAAAAAAAAAUGUUGGUGGAGGAGGAGAUGGAAUUUUUGGCAAAUUCCGAGGACAACAAAUGACUGAAAAACUAUACACAUUAUCUUGAAGAGCUGAUGGGAGGACUGAAGAUAAAGUAUUCUGGACAUGAGCUGCAGAUGUGGAAAAGAGUCUUCCUGCAAGCUGGUGAAGACGACCUUGAUGACAUCACCUUGCCAAUAUACCUGCUUCCUCACAUGCCUGGCGUUCUUUGUUUCAAGCAGUGGCAGCACCAUGUUUCUGAGUCAUUCAAACCAGUGCAUAGUUACCUAGGACUACUCUCCCUUUUUCAUUCCUGACAUCUAAUCAAUUGUCAAGUUCUGCU
rnacentral:lncRNA from 1 species